rnacentral:tRNA from 1 species
GCCGUUGUGGCGGAAUUGGUAGACGCGCUAGGUUCAGGGUCUAGUGUCCAUUGGACGUGGGAGUUCGAGUCUCCCCAACGGCACCA